UUCGAGUGGCGGACGGGUGAGUAACGCGUGGGUAACCUGCCUUACACAGGGGGAUAACACUUAGAAAUAGGUGCUAAUACCGCAUAACGGGAGAAGCCGCAUGGCUUUUUCCUGAAAACUCCGGUGGUACAGGAUGGGCCCGCGUCUGAUUAGCCAGUUGGCAGGGUAACGGCCUACCAAAGCGACGAUCAGUAGCCGGCCUGAGAGGGCGGACGGCCACACUGGGACUGAGACACGGCCCAGACUCCUACGGAAGGCAGCAG
rnacentral:rRNA from 1 species